rnacentral:rRNA from 1 species
UCAUUAAAGAGUUCUAUAACUCCCAAACCCAUGUGAACAUACCUAACGUUGCCUCGGCAGGUCGCACCUACCUUGUAGCACCCUACCCUGUAGGGCCUACCCGGGAGGUGCGGGUAAGCCUGCCGGCGGCCCACCAAACUCUGUUUGAUAUUGAAUUCUGAACCUAUAACUAAAUAAGUUAAAACUUUCAACAACGGAUCUCUUGGUUCUGGCAUCGAUGAAGAACGCAGCGAAAUGCGAUAAGUAAUGUGAAUUGCAGAAUUCAGUGAAUCAUCGAAUCUUUGAACGCAUAUUGCGCCCAUUAGUAUUCUAGUGGGCAGGACCGUUCGAGCGUCAUUUCAACCCUUAAGCCUUCGUUGCUUAGUGUUGGGAGCCUACGGCAACGUAGCUCCUCAAAGUUAGUGGCGGAGUUGGUUCACACUCUAGACGUAGUAAUUUUUUAUCUCGCCUAUUAGUUGGACUAAUCCCCUGCCGUAAAACCCCCAAUUUAUCAAGGUUGACCUCGAAUCGGUUCAGACAAACUCGCUAAAUUGAAGCAUCUUAGUCAGCGAAGGAAAAGAAACCAACAGGGAUUGCCCUAGUAACGGCGAGUGAAGCGGCAACAGCUCAAAUUUGAAAUCUG